rnacentral:rRNA from 1 species
CCUACGGGUGGCAGCAGUGGGGAAUAUUGGACAAUGGGGGGAACCCUGAUCCAGCCAUGCCGCGUGUGUGAAGAAGGCCCUCGGGUUGUAAAGCACUUUCAGUGAGGAAGAACGCCUGGUGGUUAAUACCCAUCAGGAAAGACAUCACCCACAGAAGAAGCACCGGCUAACUCCGUGCCAGCAGCCGCGGUAAUACGGAGGGUGCGAGCGUUAAUCGGAAUUACUGGGCGUAAAGCGCGCGUAGGUGGCUUGAUAAGCCGGUUGUGAAAGCCCCGGGCUCAACCUGGGAACGGCAUCCGGAACUGUCAAGCUAGAGUGCAGGAGAGGAAGGUAGAAUUCCCGGUGUAGAGGUGAAAUGCGUAGAGAUCGGGAGGAAUACCAGUGGCGAAGGCGGCCUUCUGGACUGACACUGACACUGAGGUGCGAAAGCGUGGGUAGCAAACAGGAUUAGAUACCCUAGUAGUC